CUCAUCCCUCGGGCAGGGCUGGUCAACAGCUGGGUUGUGCCACCAGUCGUUUCUGGCCUUUGAGCCCAAACUCAUCACAAUUCCAACCUUUCUUCCCAGCUGUGGGCGGACAUCAAGGCUUCCAAUGCCACUGUGGAUCGGACAGAGCUCGUGGACCACGCGGUAUAGACUUGCUCAUGCUUCUCCUCAGGUAAGACAUUUCUUCUCCUCCCCACUGGGGGAGGACUUCCACCCAGGGAUCCAUUUGAGGGAUCUCAAAGCCCACGUGAUCUACCGACACUUCAAAAUGGAGGGCAUUCAUUU